UGGGGAAUUUUGGACAAUGGGCGAAAGCCUGAUCCAGCAAUGCCGCGUGUGUGAAGAAGGCCUUCGGGUUGUAAAGCACUUUUGUCCGGAAAGAAAUCCUUGGCUCUAAUACAGUCGGGGGAUGACGGUACCGGAAGAAUAAGCACCGGCUAACUACGUGCCAGCAGCCGCGGUAAUACGUAGGGUGCAAGCGUUAAUCGGAAUUACUGGGCGUAAAGCGUGCGCAGGCGGUUUGCUAAGACCGAUGUGAAAUCCCCGGGCUCAACCUGGGAACUGCAUUGGUGACUGGCAGGCUAGAGUAUGGCAGAGGGGGGUAGAAUUCCACGUGUAGCAGUGAAAUGCGUAGAGAUGUGGAGGAAUACCGAUGGCGAGGCAGCCCCCUGGGCCAAUACUGACGCUCAUGCACGAAAAGCGUGGGGAGCAAACAGGAUUCAGAUACCCUGGUAGUCCACGCCCUAAACGAUGUCAACUAGUUGUUGGGGAUUCAUUUCCUUAGUAACGUAGCUAACGCGUGAAGUUGACCGCCUGGGGAGUACGGUCGAAAGAUUAAAACUCAAAGGAAUUGACGGGGUCAUAGCUGUUUCC
rnacentral:rRNA from 1 species